UGAGUGGAGCGGGGAGGGAGGUGACGAGAGAGGCGUGGGCAGGAUCCGGUCGUGAGCGCAGUGUCAGAUUUUCAUGGAGGGGCUGUGUCCUGGUGUGGCAGAGGCUUAAAAGGGAGUCCGGGUCCACGGCACAGCCCCAUCACUGCAGGGCCGUGGAGCUGGUGAGAUCUCACCAUGGCCUGGGUCCCUCUCCUCCUCGUGGUGCUCGCCCAGACUUCAGAUUCCCUGGUCCAGGCAGCGCUGACUCAGCCAUCCGCAUUGUCUCGCAGGGUGGGAGAGACCGUCAAUAUCCUCUGUUCUGGGAGCAGUGGCAGGUAUGACUGGUACCAGCAGAAGGUCCCUGGCAGUGCCCCUGUCACUGUGAUCUAUGAAAAUGACAAGAGACCCUCGGGCAUCCCUUCGCGAUUCUCUGGAUCCAAGUCCAGCUCCAUGGGCACAUUAACCAUCACUCGGGUCGAAGACGAGGACGAGGCUGUCUAUUAUUGUGGUAGCUAUGACAGCAGCAGUAGUACUGCUAUAUUCGGGGCUGGGACCAUGUUGACCGUCAAAGGUGAGUCGCCAGUUUCUUCUCGGUCUUUCCUUCCCUG